CAAAGGCGUGAAUGAGAUCCAAAUACUGAGAAAAAAAUAAAAAGUUUAAUAGACAAAUUAAGAAAAAUGAAUAAAACUCUACGGAAAUGUCUGGCUGUUAACCUAAAAAAGAAGUCUUCCAUUAAACUUGAGAGAGUGAUCUUUAAUUUGAAUGAAAAACAACAUUUAAAGAAAAGACUUGAAAAGCUUACUAAAGUCCCGCCAGACAAUACUUAUGCUAAUUCUAAAGCUGUGGAUAAAGAAGCUCGACUGUUUUUUCUGAUGAUGUGAUGGAACAACUAAUGCUAGUGCUAGCAAACUUAUUUGGAAGGAGAUAUCUACCAGCCUGUGCUACGAAAUUUAGAAGAACAUCUCACCAGUGAAAUUAGCCAAGCUGGCUGACAUGGAACAAGAAUACCAACUUCCUUUAUCAAGGAUAGACAACUCCCACAGAGGGAUGACAAGCAGUCACUAGAGCUGGCGGAAAGCUGACUGGCCUCACCACCAUCAUCAGGUCCAUGCUCCUCUAGAUGGAUAGCAGGAUCUCAACAGACUUCCAGUGUGAUCGGGUCACAGACUUAAGUAAGAGGCAAAGCAGGGAGAAGAUGGCAGCAGCAGCAGGAACCACCGUUCAACUCUAGAUGGGCUACUCCUUCCUUUCCAUCUAGGCUCCUACUGAUUCCUAACAACCAUGGAAUGUUGCAGCUCUCAGGCAGUUGGGUGUGACCCACUGAGCUUUCCAAAGUCAUGCUCAGUUAUGAAGUGUGGCAUUAGUGUUAAUAAUUAAGGAACUGCUUUGCACUGUUGGAGAAAUCCCAAUACUGAUUAAUUGGAAAAUAUUUAUUUAGUUGUGGCACAAGUAAUUGUAAAUUAAUAAUAAUUGGAGAUAUACCAAUCUCCUGGAACGGACCCUGAAAGGU